rnacentral:ncRNA from 1 species
AAAUCGACGUGUGACGAAACUGACCUGCGUCAGUUUUUUAAAAUUAAAUGGAACGGCUUGAGUUAUUCCGAGCAGUUAAAAAAAUUAAUAUGUGUUGAAUAUCGCUACUGCAUUCUUAAAAAAGUGGUGCAGAUUUUAGCCCAUAACUUUUUUGAUUUACAUCGACGAUACGGCGUCGAAAGAAAAAUAAAUAGACCGUACUAAGAAUAAAA